UCAGGGACUAGCAGGUGCACUUCUCAAGGGCUGUGAAGAAGCUGCAAGGGACAGAUGACAAAGGGACAAGAUACCUAAUUCACAUGGAUUCUGAACAGGCCGAGGUUCUGAGGCUGAACACUGGCAAGGCCUGAUUUGCCUUUUAGUGGGACCAUGCCUUGCCAUCCAAGAGAGGAAAAAUGCAGGACAUGAGAGAACAAGACAGAACCAGGCCUGGGUACCAGUGAACCUCCAGAGCUGUCUUCUACCUAGGAAGCCUCAGGAGCCUAGAGAAGGAAGGAAAAGUACCCAACCCUCAGAAGCCACACAGAUAGGCACCCUUCGACUUGCUGGUAUCGAGAGCAUGCCCUGUCUCUCAGCACAGAGGGAGAGGGCUGGAAGCACUGCUGAAGCCCAAGCUGGGCAGAAGCAGUCAGCAGCAUCGAGGGCUGUGAGCUGCGGCAUCUUCACACUAUAUUUGGGCCCACUUGGUCAUUAUAAACUCAUCUGAUCACUCAGCAAAGU
rnacentral:lncRNA from 1 species